rnacentral:lncRNA from 1 species
AAACGUCUACAAUGGCAGCGCAGCCAGCAGCCACGCGGCCUUGGCCACCCCCGAGCUCACGGCCGCAGCUCGGCCCGGGCCCCCUGGACGUCCGCCCUGGGCAGGGGCCGCCGCCUCCGAACGCAUCUCUGCCUCCCUAGGACGAGGCAGCCGAGGGAGGAGAGCGGCCAGGACUGCGCUGUGGCUGGACGGCGGAUGAGGCUUCUUUCAACAAGCUGCUGCCCUGGGCGCACUGCCUUGCGGGUCACUGUGGCUGCUCCUGUGCUUCAGCGGGACUAGAAGCUGCCGCCCACGGGCAGCGGGGAAGAAAUCUGGGCAAAGCCAUGAGCCCUCCGAGGCUGAGCUCCAGUUUAGGGGCUCACCUGCCUUGCAUCGUUCCGAGUCCUGUACUGGACUGCAUCAGGCCGCGUCUCCUCAGGGUGACAGAAACCAGGCAGUGAUUCAACUCGUAUUUGACUUUCACAUUCUCCAGCAAUGUUCUUCAAUCUGGGAAGGGUAGAAAAUUAAAGAAAGGUAAGGAGAGUUAAAAAAUGAGAUCAUUUCAAAGUAGAUGCAGUCUUGAAGCCCAAAUGAAUUACGAGAUCCAGUUUGAAAGCUGCUGCAGAAGUGAUUUCAGAAUCGCGCGGUGGCUCCGGAAUGGGGAACUGCUGCUGAAAGAGGUCGGAAAGGGUGGGGACUGAAUUUCGGGUAAGAGGACGCCAGUGGUUCUGGAGCACGCGGCCUUCAGCCAUGCCUGCGUUCACAAGUACAUUAUUUCAGACUCACUCCAAGUUUACAUCUCUAAGCCCAUCCAAGCCAUGGCAGCGCGAACCUCUCCCUCCCCCAGCUCAAGGCCUCUGGGCCCCCAGGACAGAGGACAGAAGAGCCAGCCCCUCCUGGCUCAGGGUUGCCGGGACCCCGUGAUGGCUGCUGUGCCUCUCCUGAGGUGCCAGGUGAGAGCUGAGACUUCUGCUCCCGCUGCACCAGCUCCGUUUGUCUCCAGGCGCAGUGUCAGUCUCGUUCUUUAAGCGCUUCUGAGGUCCCAUCAGCACAGGUCUCGUCUUACCUGGAAAGGCUUGUUGCCUUGUGCCUGGGACUUUUUAUUCUGUGCUUUUCUUCUGGAUAUUAAAUUUCAUAUCCACGCUUGCUUGUCACUCAGACCUUAUUGCCCUCUCCCUCCCAUUGGAACACUCUAGUCAUUUCUGUUUUCAACUGUAAACCAGUCUCAUUCAUGGUGAGAAAUUAAUGCUCCCUGGGUGUGGUCAGCAGACGGUAUCAAACCAUGCAAUCUUUUAAGGUCCAUUCAAACACAGACCUCCAAAAUGAUUUAUUGUUACACAUAUUAUGGUCAUAAGGCGUUUUCAAAUCAUAGGUAAACAGGACAGUGUAUGUGUGCAAAAGAAUGAUUGUGCCCAGAAAUCUCGGUAAACAGGUCAACUAAGAGCCCAAAAUAUAUUUCUAGAGUGCUUACACCCAGAAGUGAGUACUGAUUUGCUUUUAAUUAAUAUUUGGAAUGAAUGGGGUGCCAGGAGGACCCAAGUAUGAAGUAUUUAUGUGGGUGGUGAGACUAGGAGUGAUUUUGUUGUGUUUUUAUAUUUUAAAAAUUUUCUAAAAUGAAUGUGCAUUUAGUCCUCUAAAAAUAUAAGUGGUGUCCCAUUUAACAGUGCUACCAGUUGGAAAAAGGGAUUAACCCUAUUUACCCAAUUUAUUGUAUAUAAAGUUGUUGCUGUCAUUGUUGAAAUUAGGUGCUGCUAGAUUGUGCAAGUAUCAAAGUUCAAAAAAAGUGGGUCAUCUGAUUGGUUGUUGAUCACUGCAACAGCAAAGUUCUAGGCAAUUAAUGUUUUUGUUACUUUUGAAACAUAAGGGCAAGGAAUUAACAAAAAGUGUGUGGGACAGGGACAACUCCUCCCCUCUGGCCUCAUAACAAUGUUCUUGAAGUUUGCUUUUUCUUCUCUACCACUUGCAUUUGCUAAGCAGAAAGUGUUGGGGUGUGUACUCCACAGGAGUGGUUCACUGAGGUGAUGCUGCCCUGCACCAGCACCCUGAGGUGAGGAGACUGCUUUGGGGCAGGCAAGGGGCCAGGAGAGAGCAAACAAGUAUUAUUUUUCCUGUGUGUAGACUCAUAUUUAAUAAUUGUUGAAGAAAAAAGCCUUAACACCACAUGUAGCAAGUUUUAAUAGAGUUUUCUGAUUACCUUGGUCCCAUGGCUGACCAGUGACCGCCAUUAUGCCUGCAGAGAUGGGAUGGUGAGCCAUCAUUUCUCCUUCCUCUUUCCUGAAACUAGUUCUGAUACCAUCAGUGGCUUAGUCUCUAUAUGUCCAUCAGAUCCUGCCCAAUGCUGGGGACAAAACAUGAAUGAAAUGGAGUUACCCCUCAAAGAGCUCCCAGCUCUAAAGCCAUGAUCCUGUGCUCCAUCAAUACACAGGAGCAAGGGGGAAGGCAGAUGUUCCAGGAGGAGCAGAGAAGGCUUCACAGAGGGAGGCAGCACAGCCGACCUCAAGUGUGAAGGGAAGCUGCAGGGGAAGUGCAGAGCAGUCCCUUUCAGGCCAAGCAACAGCACAAAAUACCUUUGAGACAUAGACAUAUGAGAGGCACAGCUCAUUUGAGGAGCAUUGAAGAGUUUAGGGGCACAGAAUUAGACUUCAGGGUUAAGUUCAGGACCUGGGAUCAGAGUCUGGUAAGUUUAAAGGUUCUUGAAAUAAUUCUAGUAAAUAAAUAAAUGUGGUAAGACAGUGCAGCAGUACAGGUGCAGAAGCUUCAGAAGCCGUCCUUUCUCCUCUCCUCAUCCUCUUCCUUCCCUCUCAGCCCUAAACUGAGGCAGAGCGAAGAGGGCUCCAACUGGCAGAGGAAGAACUGGUGGGGCUUGGAGUUGGCUGUGGAGCCAAGCAGGGUGGUGAGGAAGGGUCCCCUGGGGAAGGUGAGAAUGGCCCCUGUCAGUGUGAGUGGGGCUGGGAGGCUGAGAGGUAGCUGUGAAGGGGCAUCGGGCCUGGAGAUGGGGGAGGGCACCUGUGUGGGGAAGAGGGUGGUGGUGGUGACGGGAGGUUGGUGGUUACAUUCAGGGGACUGAUCAGCACAUGAGUAUAUUAAGGAUAAUGGGAGCAGGUUUCUUACAAACAAGGAAAGGAAGAAUCAAUAGAGAUGUAAAUGCGUGUGUGCACAUGUAUGUUUGUAUGUGAGAGAGAGAGAAAGAUCAUCUCCAAGACCACCCUCAGGUUUAGUGAGUUUCAGAAAGAACUCACAGGCCUCAGAAGUCAUUCUGCUCAUGGCUACAGUCUUCCUAAGGGGACACUGUAAGGGGAAAAGGCACAAGGCAAAGGCUGCAGGAAGCCUGUGUGAGUUGUGAGCACCCUCUCCUAGGGCAGUCAGGAGGGAUGUUCCUGACUCCUCCAGCAGUGAGCUGUGAUGAUGUGUGAGGUGCUGUCCACCAGGAUGCUUGCCUGAGCCUGACUCCUGCGUGUGGUUUGGGGGAUUGGUCCCAUAGGCACACAGGAGGCUACAGAACCCCGGAAGAAAAUCGGGGGUUCGUUGUAAGUCACAUCAUUUGUACGAAUUGUCCAGAAAUUGUCUGGACAAAAGGGUGCAGGUGAUGCAUGUUUCUAAGUGUGCAAAACACUCAUGCUACAGUGUCCAACUUUUUUGGCUUCUCUGGGCCACAGUGGAAGAAGAAUUGUCUUGGGCCACACAUAAAAUACACUAACACUAAUAAUAGCUGAUGAGCUAAAAAAAAAAAAAAAAAAAAGUCCAUGCAUAAUUUUCAUGAUAACCUUAUUAAAAAGUGGGCAAAGGACAUGAAUAGACAUUUUUCCAAAGAAGACAUACAUAUGGCCAACAGGUAUAUGUGAAAAUGCUCAACAUCACUAAUCAUCAGAGAAAUGCAAAUUAAACCACAAGAUAUCUCAUCCUACCCUAGUUAGAAUGGCUGUUAUUUAAAAAGUCCCAAAACAGAUGUCGGCAAGGAUGCAGAGAAAAGGGAACUCUUAUACACUGUGGGAAUGUAAAUUAGUACAACCUGUAUGGAAAACUGUGGAGAUUUCUCAAAGAACUAAAAAUAGAACUACCAUUUGAUCAGCAAUCUUCCUACUGUGUAUCUACCUAAAGGAAAAGAAAUCAAUAUAUCAAAAAGAUACAUGCACUCUUAUGUUUAUCGCAGUACUAUUCACAAUAGCAAUGAUAGAGAAAUUAGCCUGAGUGUCCAUCAGGGGAUGACUGGAUAAAGAAAAUGUGGGAUAAAUAUAUACACAGUGGAAUACUAUCCAGUCCUAAGAAAGAAUAAAAAUGUCUUUAGUGACAACAUGCAUAGAUUGGAGGUCGGUAUCUUAAACAGGUCAGAUCCCAAAAGACAAAGAUCAUGUGUUCUCACUCAUGAGUGGUAGCUAAAAAAUGUGUGCACAUGGAUGUAGAGAGUGGAAUGACAGACAUUGGAGACUUGGAAGGGUGAGAGGGUAGGAGGUGGGUGGGUGAUGAGAACUUAAGGAGUACAAUGUAUAUUAUUUGGGUGAUGAUACCCUAAAAGCCCUCACUUGACCAGCACACGUUGUGUGCAUAUAUCCAAUUAUGCACGGACCUUUUUUUUUUUUUUUUUUUUAAGAUCAUCAGCUAUCGUUAGUGUAUGCAUGCUGAAUAGGGUAUCCAAAACUAGUACCCCACGGAUUUAUACAAAUAAAAAAAUGGUUACUAGUAAGGAUGACUGUAAGAUUUCUGCUUAGAUUACUAUUGUAGUAGCAUUCACCUAAGACAUUCUUUGUCCAAAAUACUUUCAAAUACAAAAAUCAUGAUUCCAAGAAAGUGAAGAAACAGGAUGCUCAGAGAAAGGAUUGCCCGUUUCUCACUGAUUGUCUUUCUAUGGGUCAGUGGUGCUGAGCAGGGAAUAUUCCCUUCCAUAUUUUCAACAGUAACUUGAGUGACCCUUUACAUAUAAGCAGACUUUUAAUUCCAAAUUUUUGUUUGUUUUUUUGAGACGGAGUGUCGCUCUGUUGCCCAGGCUGGAGUGCAGUGGUGCGAUCUCAGCUCACUGCAAGCUCCACCUCCCAGGUUCAUGCCAUUCUCCUGCCUCAGCCUCCCGAGUAGCUGGGACUACAGGCGCACACCACCAUGCCCAGCUAAUUUUUUUUGUAUUUUUAGUAGAGACGGGGUUUCACUGUGUUAGCCAGGAUGGUCUCCAUCUCCAGACCUUGUGAUCCGCCCGCCUCGGCCUCCCAAAGUGCUGGGAUUACAGGCAUGUGCCACCACGCCCGGCUAGUUUUGUAUUUUUAGUAGAGACGGGGUUUCUCCAUGUUGGUCAGGCUGGUCUCGAACUCUCAACCUCAGGUGAUCCAGCUGCCUCAGCCUCCCAAAGUGCUGGGAUUACAGGCAUAAGCCACUGCGCCUGGCCUAAUUCCAAUGUUUGACCGAGGAAUGAAGUCACUUACACUGGAUGGCAGAGUCUGCCUAUUGCUGGCUAGAAUAGACAGUGAAGAUGCAUUCCCGAAUAAACCAAAGGUGGUAGAUGGUGUCUUUCCUUAGCCAGACUGUGUGGAUAAACAUUGCAUUUUUAUUUAUUUAUUUUUUUGAGACAGGGUCUCACUCUGUCACCCAGGCUGGAGUGCAGUGGUGCAGUCAUAACUCACUGCAGCCUUGACCUCCUAGGAUCAAGCGAUCUUCCCACCUCAGCCACCUGAGUAGCUGGGACUACUUUUUUUAUUUUAGGCAAAGAGAAUGUACUUGGCUAAUUAUAAAAACAUUUUUUUGUAGAGACAAGAUCUGUGUUGCCCAGGCUGGUCUUGAACCCCUGAGCUCAAGAGAUCCACCUUGGCCUCCCAAAGUGAUAAGAUUACAGGCAUGAACCACUGCACCCAGCCUGCAUUUCUACAAACUGAUAGAUGGGGUGAGAAAAACAGUUAAGCCAGAACAUACAGGUGCAAAUUAUGGCUCUGAAAAGUAUUUGUGUGAUAUUAGAAAUAUUAGUGUGCCUUCAUUUUCUCAUCUGAAAAGUAAUGGUAAAUGGUAAAAAUUUACAAUAUCCUCCUUCUGGCUCUGUUUUUCUUGUCAUUUAUUGAUAAAUGAAUUAUGUGUUAUCUUUUGUUUGUUGCCUGUUUCUGAAGCAUAAACUCCAAGGAAACAUUGGUUUACUCAUCCACACUAAGUAGGAUCGUUAGUAAUCGUUAGUAACUGAACAUCAGAGAGAAUAUGACAGCCUCUGAAUAAAGAGCUUAUGCUGGCAUGGGAAACAAAUGCAAAACCGUCGUGGCAAGCAGAGGGCAUGAAGUCGGGGUUUCAGUGUUUCGCCUGUUGCCUGUUACCACCCAUUACACAGAAGUAGAUUUGGGACUCAGGUACUCUUAUUAGUUGGUGUGGUGCCCUCUGUGGCCUGGUUCUGGAUCUGCAGCCCAGUUACUGAAAGUAGAUUUGGGGCUCAGAUCCUGUCAUCCAUGUAUGUGGUGCCUUCUGCGGUCUGGUUCUGUGCAGUUCUCUUUUUAUGACUGGUAAUCUCUGUGGCCCAGUUCUGUGGAGGUGGUUUUCCAUCUCUGAUUCUCUCAUCAGUGUGUGCUGGUCUUUGGAGUCUAAUUAAUUCGAAGUUGAUUUUGGAUAUUAUCCUCAUUCGUGUGUGGUGCUCCCUGUGGUCUGGCUUUGUGGAAGUCAAUUUUGGAUUCUGAUCCUGUCAUACAUCUGGCAUUCUGCAGUCCCAUCACAUGGCACUGUGCCCUUCUUAUGCUGCAGUCUUAUUAUGAGAAAGGAGGUUCCAUACUCUGAUCCUCUCAUCUAUACGUUUAGGUCUCUGCAGUCUGGCCUCAGAUGGGUUUCAUAUAGGGUGUGUAAUUUGGCUCUGAAGUGGUAAGACAGACUUUUCUGUCAUCACGGCCAUGUUGCUUAAUAGCUCACCUGACAGUCUACUGGAAGUACAAUUCUUGUAAAAGAGCUCUUGCCUGGCACUUUGUCUUGAGAGCAAGGGGACUCAAGUCAAGAAAUAAUGUGUUUAUCUUCAAAGCUCCCUGGGAAAGCAAAUUUGGAAAAUGGCACUCAUUUUCUGGGUUGCAAGAUCAAUGAUGAAUCAUGUUUGCUUUUUAUUACUGUUAUAGAGUUAUGUCUCUCCUUGGGAACAUGGCUCAGUAUUGAAAACAUUCUCAAUACCCUCAAGUUGUUUUUUUUUUCCCCAUGAGGAUAAAGGAGAAUAAAACACAAGAUAAAUGAGGAAAGGUAAGAGGGAAAAAAGAAUUUGUAUAUUGAUUUGGAGUGUCUUCAGGAAUAAAUAGGAGAUGUUCAAAGCAUAAAGGAGAACGUUAAGAAGACUAGGUGUAUAGAUGUGGCGCCAGAAUGGUGGUGGUGGGAGAUAAUUCAAAAAAUAGUAUUUGUGCACUUAGGAAAUACUUUUGCAGGUUACCUGAUGUGAAAUUACAAUAUUGAUACCAGCACAUAACAUCCUAGAGGGAAAUCCUAUGUGCUUGUUGGAUAGGGUCUCGGUCAUCAAGUCCAAGUUUAUAGGCAAGUCCUAUAAGCUUGGGGGAUUAGCCAAUGGUUCUCAAAUGUGAUUCCUGCACCAGCAGCAUCAGCAUCUACUGGGAACUUGUUAGAAAUGAAAAUUCUCAAACUCCACCCAAGUUCCUUAAAUCAGAGCCUCUGGGGUAAUCCAGGCACUCUUUUAUUUGUUUUGUUUUUUUGAGAUGGAGUUUGCUCUGCUGCCCAGGCUGGAGUGCAGUGGUGUGAUCUUGGCUAACUGCAACUUCAGCCUCCCGGGUUCAAGCGAUUCACCUGCCCCAGCCUCCAGAGUAGCUGGGAUUACAGGUGCACGCCACCAUGCCCAGCUAUUUUUUUGUAUUUUUAGUAGAGCUGGCGUUUCGCCAUCUUGGCCAGGCUGGUCUCGAACUCCUGACUUCAGGCAAUCUGCCCGCCUUGGCCUCCCAAAGUGCUGGGAAUACAGGUAUGCACCACUGUGCCUGACCAGCAGGUGCUCUUUAAACAAGCUGUUCGAGGGGACGAGGGUUCACCCUCCGGUUUGUUUGAAACAGGAGGUCCUUGAGCUCACGCUGAGCAGCUUACCUUUCCAGAAAUGGGCAAGCUGGAAAUCAGCUAAGUAGGUUCAUACUUUCAGUAGGAAUGGUACACAUUAAGUAUCUUAGUGCAUUUGGGAACUGGCCAUUAGUGCAGCCUUACACCAUUUUAAUAAACUAUUCAGACCGUGUGAGUUUUAGUGCUGCCAUAAAAAACUUCAUACUAGUGCCAACUUUUAAAAUGCAAGGAUCAAAAGUUGACCCUACCACACUUAGUUCAUACUUGCAUCCUUUAAAAACAUUCCACAGAGGUGCAGGUAACUUACAUGUCCUUCUGUUGGAAAAUUUAGAUUUUCGCUAAUAUAGAUUUCACAACAAUCAUGGCAUUUUUUAGAUACUUUUGCACCUUGCCACAAAACUCUCACUCGCUGUGAUCAUUUUAUGUGAAACCAUAAAAUAUUAAAUACCCUCACCAAAUUGUGAAUAAAUUUGCCAUAUGAUGUGGACUAUCAGGUCAGGGAAACCCAAGCCUGAGGCCACACCCGGCUGGCAGCCAGGGGCACAUGUGGCCUCUGCUUACACUUAAGCCUCGUAUCUCAUCCUGCUGAAAGCGGACAUUAGUUUUGGAGAGUGUACCCAGUGUUGGCACUUGACUCCUGCCUCAUCAGACUGUGGGGGUCAACUGUCCAGCUGCCGACAGUCCAGAGUUGCUGUGGGGACUCAGCAGGUGGCGAGUACUUGUGAAGCUCCUAGUAGGGUACCUGUGCUGCUUCCAGGAUGCUGGUGCUCAAUGUGAUCACAUCUGUAAUUUGCUGAGUAACUGAAUUUGUAAUUGUAAUUUGACUCUUGAUGGCUGCCAGAACGACAGUGUUAAUGAAAACCGUGCCAACCAGGGCACAUUUAGGAAGGACUGUGUGCUGUAUAAAUAUUCAGAAAAGCUUUUUCAAAAAGACUUCGAGAGAGGGUUCUGGACUGUCAUCUGUCUAUCUGAUGAGCUUGGGCCCAUUUUCUCAUCUGCGUCCCUCAGAGAGUAUGUGCGGAUUCCGUGAAAGAUGGUACAUGAUAAGCACUUGAUAAAUCUGUCAUUCUCUUUGAGGGAUUACUUUAUCUCUGGUAUUCUCUUCCACUUAGAACACAGGUGAAAUAUUCAUGCAUUUUGUUUACUCAAAAGUCAAAAAAGUUUUUAUUCUCUGAUAUAUAAAACCAAGAAAACUUUAAUACAUAAUAUGCAUAGUUUUGUUUUUUUAAAAGGAGAAAGUGGCAGAAGUACAGACCUGUGUAGAAAAAUACACCCAAGCAGCUGUUCUAAGCAGUAAUUCCUAAAAUUAUGAAUAGCACACAAAUCUCAGUGAAAGCCUCAUUUCUUAAAAAAAAACUCACAUUUGCUUAACAACUUAAAAUGUGAUAAGAAAUAUAACCUUCCUUCUUGAUAGCCGACCCAGUUAUAUAACAGACAUUCAAGAAUCAGCAAUAACUUAGUAAAAGAACAUUUCCUUUGUGAGGGUAACAUUAUUAGUUUUAGUUCCACAAAAACUGCUUCUGACUGCUGGGGCACUGAACGACAUGCCCUUCAUCAGAGAGCAAGUCCGGGGGGUGCGGAUCCUCACCGGAGAGGUCAUGGGGAAGCAUCUUUGGUCUUCUCUUGCUUAGGAACAAAGGGCCAGCAAUCCAUUGCAUACAAAUAACAUCAAACACAGGUGCAGGAAUUCACAACUCCUCAGCAAAAGCUAUUUCUUAAAAAUAGAACUUGCUUUUCACUUAAUAUUCAGAAAAAAUGAAAAUGCUGAGAUGCAGUUUUCCCUCUUAGCAGUUCCAUGUUCACGAAGUCAGGACAGUUCUGCCACUGACCAGCAGGUGGUGCUGGACCACAAGGAGAAGCAGCGGGAGGUACGCAGCUCCGACAACCUAGAAAAAUAUUUCUUUACCUGUAUCUGUAUGAAAGAUUUGGUCAGAGUUCUCAAAGUAUAAAUGUAACAUUUUAUUCAAGCAAAACACAUUAUAUAAAAUUUAAUUGUAUCAAAUAGGAAUUUUUAAAAUUACUAAAUAUAUAAACGUUGCUGGAAGAUCAACAUAAAGUGAGGAUGAAUUUAGUAUUUGUUAAAAAUCACUAAGUUCCACGUGACUUCUUAUAGUUAAAAGUGAGAACUGCCAGUGACCAUUCUAGAAAUGAAAAUUAGCAUGUAUUGUGACUUACUAAAAGAAACGUCUGUUUCAGAAAACAAAGAUGAGAACUCACGUGCAAAUGACUGCAUUCUCAAAGACAUUGCUGGACAUGUGCGAUGCUUAUCCUUCAUUUCUGCUGAAAACAUUUCCGAAAUCGCCCUCAGAGUCAGUCAACCCACAGGAAAAGGGUCAUCUUAGAGGCAAUAGAGGCUUACAUCCCAAAUGGGACUGCUGAGCCCAGUCCAGCAGAGCUGCUGCUUCCUACCCUGGAUUUCCCCUUGAGGCUGAAUGGGCCACCUAUGUGGGUCACAAAAAUAGCCCCUGGUCUGGUGCUGUGGCUCACGUCUAUAAUCCUAGCAUUUUUGGAGGCUGAGGGGGGACCGUAUCACCUGAGGUCAGGAGUUCAAGACCAGCCUGACCAACGUGGUGAAAUCCCAUCUCUACUAAAAAUACAAAAAUUAGCUGGGUAUGGUGGCAUGUGCCUGUCCCAGCUCCUUGGGAGGCUGAGGCAGGAGAAUUGCUUGAACCCAGGAGGCGGAGGUUGCAGUGAGCUGAGAUCCCUCCAGCUUGGAUGACAGAACAAGACACUAUGUCUCAAAACAAACAAAAAAAAGCCCCGGAACAAUUCCACAGCUGCGGGUGCCAUAAGUGUGCUGGUGGGAGCUCUCCUGUCCCAACCGAAUUAUGACUAUGAACAGUGUGAAAAUCUGGAAUUCAUCUCCAUGGUUGUACAUGGACAGGUUUGGGUGUAUUUUUUUUUUUUCCCGAGACAGAGUCUUGCUCUGUCACCCAGGCUGGAGUGCAGUGGUGCGAUCUCAGCUCACUGCAACCUCUGCCUCCCGGGUUCAAGCGAUUCUCCUGCCUCAGCCUCCCAAGGUAGCUGGGAUUACAGGCGCCUGCCACCACACCUGGCUAAUUUUUAUAUUUUUAGUAGAGACAGGGUUUCACCAUGUUGGCCAUGCUGGUCUCGACCUCCUGACCUCGUGAUCAGCCCACGUAGGCCUCCCAAAGUGCUGGGAUUACAGACGUGAGCCACUGCACCUGGCUGCAUUCGUUAUUAAAAACCAGCCUCUUGUCACGUACAUCAGCACAGUCGGCCUCGCCUGCAAGUCAGCAGAGAGCACAGCAAGAAUGCUGAGAUAUGUUGCAUGGGCCAACUUACUUAAAAACAUGAAUUUGACUAUUUUAAAAAAGUAAUUUUAAAGCUUCACUUUAAAAACAAAGUAUUUGUAAAAAUUUUAAAAAGCAUUUUUUUGCACUUGGUCAGAUCUUUUCUAUCACUUUGCAAAGGCGCCAAGACCUGCACUCAGGCCUGGUAUAGAGUGUCUCUACAGGCGUUCAUUUUAAGUUCUGUGGCGAAAUUCUAUAAAAAUAGGCAAUACUUGUGUUUUUAUAUCCGGAAGUUGAAACAAAGAGCAGCGUUGUUUUUGUGGUCACAAAAACAACAAAAAAUGAGCGGAUGCAGUCUGCAGGUCCUGUCCCUGUCCUUACCGGGGAACUGGAGCUAGGAUUUGGGGGCCUCUCGGGAGUCUAGAGCGUGACCGCGGGCCCGUGCUCCUCCACGCCGCCUGGCGGCAGCGCCAGGCUGUGACGGGGGUCGGCCCGCAGGGAGCUGAGCAGCCGCUGGAGGCCGCCGUCCAGGGCCAGGUCCCGCUGCAGCCGCUGCGCCAGGCCCGCGCCAUUGACCCGGGAGAGGCUGCCUGCGGGCGCGCCCGGGGUCUGGGGGGGACGUGCAGGCUCCAGUGUGCCCUCGAUGACGACGUCGUUGUCCUCAUCGCUCUCCGCCUCGUCGGGGUGGAAGUUCUGCAGGACGCGCGGGGCGGGGGGACCCACGAAGCCCGCGGUGCCGUCCGAGGGCGGUCCCGAGCUGCCCAACGCGCGGCCGCCGCGCACCACGUUGUUGCGCUGGUUGGCGGGCUUGACGGUGACGAUGAGGUUGUGGCUGUUGGCGAUCAUCAUGUCCGUGACCUGGUCCAGCGUCUUCCCGGCCACCUCAAUGCCGUUCACCUCCAGGACCUCGUCAUUCACAGCCAGCAGCCCGGUGCUCUCCGCCAGGCCCCCGGGUACCAUGCGCGAGAUGAAGAUGCCGGGCACCUUCUCCAGCCCGUGCGGGGUCACGCGCACGCUGGCGCCAUCGCGGAUGUAGAAGCCCAGCGGCUUCUCGCAGCCGUGCCGGUGCAGCCGCACUCGCCGGUGCGUCUCGGGGACCAGGUCCACAUCGAUGAUGGAUGAUACGGGGCGGAAGUCGCGCGGGAGGCCGAUGUCCAGGUGUGCACGCCGCCGGGGUCCUUCAUCACGCAGCGCGCCCAGCGCCCGCCUCCGCCUGCACAGCGAGCCCGCGCCGAGGCUGCCACGCUCGGCCUCCUCUGCGGGAGAGGGGACAGUUAGAGGGGACACACAACCGAGCCCCGCCUGAGCCCUCGGCCGUCAUACACCUGGCACUGCUGUUCCAUCUGCGUGACGCCGAAGCACCCAGGGUGCACAGGAGCAUUCCAGACCUGCAGGCUGAGCUGAAAUCAGGCAAGCUCAAGUGCAGCCCCUAAAAUUAACUCUCUAGCACUCUCCUUACAGCUCCACAGGCACCAAACCAAAGAACUCAGAGAUUAAAAGGUGCUAGCAGGCAGCUGCAGCAGAGAGAAUCAAUGGCAGUGGAGGGUUUAGGGCUUGGAGGGCUGGCGAGUGCCUCAGCCUUCUGGGAGGCAGCAGGCUGGACUGGGGACUUCUUAAGCUUUGCCCAUUCUCCCAUAUUUCCUUCUCUCAACUGUAAGACGGAGGCUCGUUUUUUUCUAAGGUUAAUUACAACUAAGAGAGACCUUUCCUGCUUUCUUCUUUUCUAUGCGCAAGCCCCACCACAGUGUCUUCUAGCCAGCAUUCAAGGCCCCUGAAUGUGUCACUCAGUCGGGCGUGUGAGCAUUUCCCUGCGUUUUUGGUUAGCAGCUGAUGAGGGGAGAUGAGUAGAGGAAGGAGUGGGAUCAGAGGAUGGCUGCUUCCCUUCUGUGAGGUCCCGCACAGUCAGUGCUAUUUGUAGGCACAUGGAGCCUCAAGGCUCACCAAUAUGCCCAGCCUCCCAUGGGGGCUGUGCAGCUCUCUUCCUCAGGUCUCCCAGGGACCCUGUGGGAUCCGCCUGCCCACACCUGCCAGCCUGUGGCAUGACACAUUUGUGGCAGUGUGUAAACUUUACCCUAAAGUUGGGCUACUGCAAAAUAAAAUGAAAGUCCACUGAAUUAAUCAAGCAGAAACGUAAGGAGCUUAGUCUAAAGUAAAAAUUUUAAGUGAAGAGACUGGUGGCAUUUGGAAACUCUGAAUAAUGCAUUUUCCUCAUGUCAGAAAAAAAAUCUUGUUUCAUUAAUUUUUAUAUGAAACCUCUUGUUCUUGACACACACGACUCUGUAAGACAGGCGUCUCGGGGAGCAGAGGGAAGGGCUUGCUCUGUGAGGCUUGGUCCUGUGGAGUUGGUGGCAUCCACAGCAGCCUGCUCUUUGGGCUGGGGAGGCUCACAUCUUUGCUUUGCCAGUGAAAGCCAGUAGGACCGGGAGCCCAGGCAGAAGCAAUGCCAUAAACAGGCGCUCCUCAGAGCAGAGACCUCCAGGCUCCAGGGGUCAGUCUGGCUUCUGCAUUUCAGUGAGCAGGCAGGGCCCAUUAUGACUUGCUUUGGAGAUGGGGAAUGCUGGUUGACAGUUCUGGAAAGGACUCGAAGACAAAUUACUUCCACCAUGGAGGCAACAUUCAGGCAGCUUGGAGAGGAGGCCAAUGCUCAGGCAUCACAUCUCUCAACCCAGCAGAGCCCAUGGCUGCCUAGACAACGAGAAGGCCCUAGCACAGGCUCUGGCACAUGCUCCAGGCAGCAGGGUUAAUGCACCCUGGAGCCGGGAUGCCCCAGCAUGAGGACUGUCUUCCUGGGAGCUGGCAUCCUGGCCAGCACUCAACACAUGCUGCUCAGUGACGGAACCCAUCCGUCAUCAGUUAUCAGCAUAAUUUAUUACCCACUGACACAGUAAGGUCUGGAAGGACUUUUGAAAUAAGAUGACUUUUAAAAACUAUACCUGUAAACCCUGUUUACCCUGACGUGAUUAUUAUGCAUUGUAUGCCUGUAUCAAAAUCUCAUGUAACCCAUAAAUAUAUAUACCUAAUAUGUACCCACAAAAAUAAAAAAAUAAAAUGACACUUGUAAUACUUCUUCCCAGCUGUGACCACCGGGGCUGGGUGUGCAUGUCUGUCAAGUCCUUUCUUGCACACUCACACGUACAUGUGGCUAUGGUUGUGCUUGUUUUAUAGAAAUGGGAUCUUGGUUCCUGGCCAGCACCCGGCCUCUCUGCACCUCAUAGACACUGCAAAUCCUUACUCAGUGACUUCAGGGAUACAGGUGAGUGGAUAAAGUCCCUGCCCUGAAGUAGCCAUGAAGCGAGUGGGAGAGAUACAGACUGAAUUUUACAUACAGCUACAUGGAGAACACCGUGAGACUGGAUGUGCACAGGAUAUGAUAGGAACAGUGCGGGGGCAUCUGGGGAGGUGGCAGUUAUGCUGCCCGGGGUGUGGGGAUCAACAACACAAAGUUCAAGAGAAGACGCCGGAGGGUGAGUGGCACAGAGCUCCUCUUCCCGUGAUGAGGAGAGACUACCUGUAGAGUCCAUCUGGUCUGGCUGCUGCCGCAGGUUUGGACUAACCAAGGGCCUGGGACAGAGUGGGCUCUCCCUGGACUAAAAGCUAAACCUCACUGAAGGCAUCUGCCUCAUGAUUGCUCAUUCUAAGUGGGAGGGACUGUGGAUCCAUGGGGCCGCAGAUGGAAGUGUGGCAGUGUCCGAGGCACAGUGCUCUGCCUGCUUUCCAUGAUACGGGCUCUUCCCAAGGGGUCUCCUUGGAUGACAAAUCUAUGCACUUUCAAGAAGGCAACCCCUCUGGCAAACUCAUGCCUGCAAGAACAUUGUGGUGCAGGUGGCCAUCCACAUGCUCCUCCUUGAGGACAGGCCCUAUGCUCAGGCCCUGUGCUCAGAGCCACGAGCAGCAGGGCCCAGGAGAAGAGACUAAGGUUUUAUGCAGGGCAGGUGAGGCCUGAGAUGCUGAGGGUAGGGGAGUAAGAAAUGGUGUGUGUCCAUGUGUGAAACAGCCUGGCCGCCUGUCCCACACACGGGCAGAGUACAGUGAGGCUUGGCCCGGGAGAGGUGACACCUACUGUUCCAAGCAUCCUCUUUCUCUCUACCACUGACUCACAGAGUUUGAGGUUCAAUUUCACCUCCCUCUGAGAGCCGCUUGUCUUCAAGUCCCAGUUCACAGCCACCCAUCCCGGGAGCCCCACCCCUGUUCCGCAUGGUGCAUUCCCUUCCACCAAAACCACAAACCUGUCUGCGUCACAAGGGCCAGGUGGAAGCAUCUCGGCCAUCCCCACAGGGCAGCAAGUGCUCUGGCCGUGGUGCACGGUGGACUGGAUUGAGGCUCAAGCCCAGAACUGUAGGAUACAGAGAAGGGCACAGCGGGCCGGGCCCCUCCUCGUAAGGGGCUUAUAAAUCACUUAGGUAGACCAGGGUUCCCUGCACCAAUAAAAGCAAGUGUGUGGACCUCUGCUUCCCAGAAGUCAUGUAGUUCUUCCCAUCCCUCCUAAGUUCAACAAAAACCCUGGAUGUUACAUACAAAACAACAAAUAUAAGAUGACGCAGGAGAGAAGUCGCACUAGCUGGGGCCUCAGGACCGGAGAAGCAACAUGGCAGCAGCUCCUUGGGUUUUCUUUUAGCCUUGUCAUCCCAGACUUGGAGCUGAAGGCACCAGCAACCUGGAUGCACCAACAGGCAUAGACCAAAAAGCCCCAUCAAAAGUCUGCUCUGUCUGUACAAAGAUCAGAAAGAGGCAGCCUAAAAGGACGGAACACGUGUGGACAAUAACUACCCCACCUGCUGCACCCCACACACAGAGCCUGGACCCUCACCUCCUCAAGGCUAGAAUGGGUGCCCAACAGCCCCUGGCUCUGGUGCCAGAGAGACUAAGCAGGGAGUGAGGACCUGGCCUUUGUAUUUUGUCCAUGGGCCCCACAGUCUUGAGUGGGCCUCUCCUCCCUCAAAACACUUAGGGGCCAUCCUAACAGCCCCUCCUCCUGGCCAAGUCCCAACUACUGCAAAUCCCUCCCCUGCACUCCAAACCCUCCAACCUGUGAGGGGCGUUGCCUCUGUGAUGUGCUCUCCAUGUGUCUAAAAGGCUCCAGCUUUUAACUUUCAUGGUUGGGUGUUUCCACCGGGUCCACACUGCUCUUCACGUCACAACUGAAUGUCAUGCCCAUAGUAAGAGGAUGAAACUGGGGGGUCCUGGGCCUUCAAGGACUUGAGCAGAGGGGAGCCUUGUUUACCCACCUAACAAUAAUGUAAAAUAUAAUCCUAGCCAACCUCAAAUUAAACCUUUUGAAGAUAUGUAAUGGGGGAACCUGCCCCCAAUAUUUCAACGUAGGUUCUAUUUUCCAUAAAUGUCAGCCAGCUGAGCAAGAGAAAGAGUACAAAGAGAGGAAUUUUACAGCUGGGCCACCAGGGAUGACAUCACCUAUCGGUAGGUCCGUGAUGCCCACCUGAGCCUCAAACCAGCAGGUUUUUUAUUAAGGGUGUCAAAACGGGAGGGGGUGUAAAACAGGGAGUGGGUACAAAGAUCACAUGCUUCAAAAGGCAAAAAGCAGACGUACUAAUAACGGUCUAACAAAGAUCACAUGCUUCUGAGGGAACAGGACAAAAGGAAAAAGCGGAACCACUGAUAAGCAUCCAACAAACACAAGGCAAAGGGCAAAAGCAGAACCACUGAUAAGGGUCUAUGUUCAGCAGUGCACAUAUUGUCUUGAUAAACAUCUUCAACAACAGAAAACAGGGUUCGAGAGCAGAGAACCGGUCUGACCACAAAUUUACCAGGGCAGAGUUUCUCCCCACCCUAGUAAGCCUGAAGGUUCUGCAGGAGACCAGGGCGUAUCUCAGUCCUUAUCUCAAUCACAUAAGACAGACAUUCCCAGAGUGGCCAUUUAUAGACCUCCCCUAGGAAUGCAUUCCUUUCCCAGGGUAUUAAUAUUAAUAUUCCUUGCUAAGAAAAGAAUUUAGUGAUCUCUCUCCUACUUCCAUGUCCAUUUAUAGGCUCUCUGCAAGAAGAAAAAUAUGGCUCUUUUUGCCUGACCCUGCAGACAGACCUUAUGGUUGUCUUCCCUUGUUCCCUAAAAAUCACUGUUAUUCUGUUCUUUUUCAAGGUGCACUGAUUUCAUAUUGUUCAAACACAUGUUUUACAAUUUGUACAGUUAACAAAAUUAUCACAGUGGUCCUGAGGUGACGUAUAUCCUCAGCUUACGAAGAUAACAGGAUUAAGAGAUUAAAGACAGGCAUAAGAAAUUAUAAAAGUAUUAUUUGGGAACUGAUAAAUGUCCAUGAAAUCUUCACAAUUUAUGUUCCUCUGCUGUGGCUCCAGCCAGUCCCUCCAUUCAGGGUCCCUGACUUCCCGCAAUGGAUAUGUCUUUGCCUCUAAAAUUUUAGUAAAGGUUUGUUUUGAAAAAACAUGGUGUUGAACUGUUAACCUCCAGGAAGUUGCCAGAAAACAUAAUUUAUCAUUUCCACUGGGUGCGCUGGCUCACACCUGUAAUCCCAGCACUUUGGAAGGCCAAGGUGGGUGGAUCACCUGAGGUCAGGAGUUCAAAACCAGCCUGACCAACAUGGUGAAACCCUGUCUCUAUUAAAAAUACAAAAAUUAGCUGGGCGUUGUGGCAUCCACCUGUAAUCCCAGCUAGUAGGGAGACUGAGGCAGCAGAAUCGCUUCCAGACAGCGGAGGCUGCAGUGAGCUGAGAUCGUGCCAUUGCACUCCAGCCUGGGCAAGAAGAGCAAAACUCCAUCUCAAAAAAAAAAAUUAUCAUUUCCGCUUAUUUCCUAACAUAGCUACCACUUUGUCACCAUUUGGACCUGUAAACAAAUGUGACUGUUCCCUUGUAUUUUUCCUUCUGAGAUGAAGGCAGUCAUGUCAGCGGCACACAGCCUCAGCUCAUGGACACCGUAUGGUCAGGUCGGCACCAACACAGCACACCACCCCAAUCAUGAGUGUGUUCCUCCUCUCUGCCGCACCCCAAGCAGAACAAAGGCCCAGAUGCAGGGCUGCAAGUGUCUCUCUCAGCAGCCCCACUGCAUUCUGCUAAGCAGGCGACACAGUCUGGGGCACGUGUGCCAUGGCAGACACUGCUGGUGUGACCCUCGGUCAUGGGGGCAUCAGGACGCCUUGUCUCAGUGGAAAAUCUCCACCUCCCUUAGAAUUUAAAGGCGUCAAGUUCAUUGAAAGCGAUCAGUUACAGCCUCCUCCAUGGUCAGAUCUAGUUGCCCCAAACACAACAGCUCCGUGGCAGCUUUUUUACAGCAGCAUUUUCAAGUUUCUGGUAAAUGUCCUCUGUAGAGAGCGUCAGACAAGCAGGGGAGGUACGUGCCCCUUUCAUCCUGUCCUGGCUCCUUACAUCCUCAGAGCACGAGACAGUCCACAGGGUCCUCACUCCCCAUGUCCACCUUCCCGGGGAACUUCAGGGGAGUGCAUAGCCCUCCCUGCAGACCAGGAAGGUCUGGUCCUCCCCCGACCAUAAGGGGGCUGUUCUCACAGAAGUCCCUUCAGGGCCCCUUCUCCACACCACAGCCACCUCUUUUGGGGCCCCACAACUGCAAACACUUGAGGAUCCAACAAACCAGAGCCCCCUUUGAUCUCAGUCGUGCUGGCCAGACCCUAACAUCCCAUGCUGACCCCUCUGGCCUUGGCCCUGUGCUCCAAGGGAGUUUCAGCGCAUCUAAAGGUGCAGGGCUCCGUGUGUCACCGUAUGGAAUAAUUACCACUUUUCAGGGCAAGACAAUGGCCAAUCAAAACAGUGACAGUUCACAAUUACAAGUGACACCCAUUGGGCCUCACAGGUCACAUCCCUGCUGUGGGUCCUCUGUUGUGGUUCCUGCCUGAGAGCAUCAUGUUGCGUGUGGACGUGUGUGCAGGAUAACACGUGGGCAGUGUUGUGUGUGGACCUGUGUGCCGGAUAACACAUGGGCAGUGUUGCGUGUGGACGUGUUGCAGGAUAACACAUGGGCAGUGUUGUGUGUGGACCCGUGUGCAGGAUAACACAUGGGCAGUGUUGCGUGUGGAUGUGUGUGCAGGAUAACACAUGGGCAGUGCUGAGGACAGGGCACGGCUCUUCAUGCAGCAGCUCACUCAGGGCAGCAAGCUUGGAGCAGGUACUCCUGGGGACAGGGACACAGGCUCAGGGAUUCAGGGCCCCGGAAUGGCCUGGACAGGGAAGGUCUUUUGUGUAACCCCCAUGACAGGCAAGGCAGCAGCAACGCUCCACCAUGUUUCCAGACAGACUUGGGGUCCUGGGAGGAGGCGCUGCAGAGGGUGGAGCUGGGGCCAUGAGAUGUACCCAGGCCUGUCCUCUCUUCCUCCCCCAGCGUCUCUGAUGCUCUGAGCCACGUAGGGAGGACGACCAUGGGAACAUGGCCUAAGAUGAACGCCCAGGGGAUUUCUGAGCAGCAGGGAGUGUAUCCCCUCAUGGUGCAGCACCUCUCAGCAGCAGGCACACAGACCACCCUGUACAAAGGCAGGUUCUGAACCCCUGGGCCUGGGGUGCAGCUCAAGGACACUCAGGUGAGGUUGAUGCCAUGGGUUCAUAAACUAAUUCUGAAUGACAGGAGGUUGAUGAGCUAAGUAAUGUCUACCACUGUCAAAUGGCUGUGUAAGCUGAAAGAUGAACACGUUCAUAGGCAGGGGGCAAAAGAGCCAGUGGCUCCGUGGAGGAAACGGGCCGACACCCCACUUGGAGGAGGGCCAGCAAGUGCAUGCGACUCUGGUUCUUCCUGAACUCUUGAAGAGAUGGGCCGGCCGUGGUCUGCACCCUGAACCCCCUCCCCAGCAUCCAAGGGCCCAGGGUGCGUUUGGUGCCAACCACCCCGCCUGCUUCCAGUGAGCUGCAGCUCAGGUGAGAGAACACACAACCUCAGCCUGUCUGCAGUGGGAGGUGCAGGAAGUACUGCCCGCAUGCAGCUGCGGUGGUAUGGGGACGAGGUGACUGAAUUUCAGACAACAAUCCGUUUCUCCAUCUCUUUAAAUAUGAACCCUUGCAUAUGGACUUCAUUAGUGAAAAAUUCCAAACUUUCUUAGAAAUAAAAUUUGUUUUAAAGAAUACCCCAUUUCUAAAAUUCCAACUUUGAUUUCUAAAAUACCUUUUUACAAGAAAAAAAUUGUCACUGCUUCUUUUUCAAGCAAUAUGUUAAAUCUGGUAUUUUCCACAAAGUAAACAAUUCAAGGAGUCACAUUUUUUAGGCAACUGUCUAACCACCCUCUCUCCCCAUAUCCUGUUUUCAGUCAAAUUAUGUUUGUGUGUGUGUGUGUGUGUGUGUGUGUGUGUGUGUAUGUAUAUGUAUAAACUUUUUUUUUUUUGGAGACAGUCUCGCUCUGUCACCCAGGCUGGAGUGCAAUGGCACAAUCUCGGCUCACUACAGCCUCCACCUCCCAGCAAUUCUCAUGCUUCAGCCUCCUGAGUAGCUGGGAUUACAGAUGUGAACCACCACACCCAGCCGUCAAAUUAAAUUAUAUUUUCUUCUUCCAUUUCUAUUUUGAAGUAUCCGUAACAAGAGGGGAAAUUGAAGUCUGGUCCUAUGAAGCUCUCACGGUUACAAGUUUUCAAACUAAAGAUUUUCUAAGAAAUAUUUUCUUACAAAUAACCCCUUCUGUUACAUAAGGGCUUGACCUGAUUUAUUAAAACUAUCCUGACUCUCUGGCGAGGAAGGGUGGGAACUGCUGAAGGUGCCUCUUCCAAAGGUUUCCAGGGUCCUUCUCUCGGAUGGAGCCUGUCCAACUGCACUCUGGGGAAGGGAGAGAAACAGGAAGGCGUCGCCUUCACGCUCCGGUCACUCAGGAAGGUGGCUGUGCAUGCCUGAGAGCUUGCACCGGGGUGGAGGUAGCCACGGUCCCGAGACACGCCCUCUGCCCACACCUCCCUACCAGCCUGGCCAGACGCCUGGGGUGCCCAGUCGUCUUCAUGGUGGCAGCUGCAGAAGUAAUGACAACUCAUGGGCAUUUGGAGAACGCACCAGGCCCACGCUCAACAUUGCAUUUGAUUCCUGCGAGCGCUCAACAAGGGAAGCACCAGACAGAUGCUGAAAUUUAGGCAUGGCAGCACUGCUUUGCCUCCCUUGGCAGCACAGGGCUGCAGAAGGACUCAGAAUUGCGGGGAACCCUCUGCCUCAAGGCGCUCCACCAGGACACAGACACCCCCUCAGCGGCCCCUCUGCUUUUUCUUCAGAAUCUGAUACAUCUGGCCUGGACGGGAGAUGGUGCCCUCGGGCGCCAGAGUGUGGGGUCCUCUUCACAGCCACUCCCACCCCAAUUCCUGAUCUUCCGAGUUUCCUGGCUCACAGUGUUCCUUGUUCUCAAACCGCUCGCUUCACUGCUUCCGAUUCAACUUCAUUACCUAAAGUGAGAGAUACAGCUUCUUUCUUUCCCUCUCAGGAUCAAUGACUCGGUUUUAGGUCACCAUGGAGAGGGGAUUCAGAGCUCACGCAUCCGCCACACUUGAUUUCAGGAGAUGAGUGGCUGCGAGUCACCCUGCUGUGAGCCGCCAUGGUCCCCUGGUGAAUUGCCCAGGCCAAACGCCAUGGCCUCACCUGCUCACGGGCAAAGCAGCUGCCAGCUUAAAUGGUAAGAAAUUAGUAAAGGAAGGAAGGAAGGAGGGAAGAAGCCGGAAGGGAGAGCACGUCUCCGUCCCUCGAUGACGGCAUCAGGACACACCACGUCGGAGACUUCAGCUGCCAGAUGAGCACGGCCUAUUAGGGCCUCGUCCGGUCCCCGCUUAUCCAAGGGUGGUUAAGACCAAAUUCCUUCCCCAUAAUUAAACAGCAUGUAGACACAUACAAAAAUACCGCAGAAGAACUACACCACUGGGUCAAAACACAUGCCAGAACAAUAUUUCAUUUUAAAAGACAACAUAAAUGUCAACAUUUAAAAAGCCUGCCACAUAAGGUGAAAAACAAAACCUGUUGUGUACUGACUAGUCUCAGAACUCCUUGGCAGUUUUAUCUUUUCCAGAAAACUCUGUCUUCAAACCCCAAGACCUGUCUCCUUGUGGCAUCCUCCACAGGCUUGGUCUACAGCAUGCAUCCUCAGGGGAUUCUUCCAGGCUUACCUGGCCACGAUCCCCAGCACAGAACAGCUCAAGAUCACCGUCUACCCCCAUCUGCCAGAGCAAAUCUAUUUUCCACCAAGAGCAGGACUGUCGGCUGUCAGUCACCAAGGACACCCAGGUUGAUAGUUGGAGGCGACCAGCACAUUCUGAUGAAGUAGGUGAUGGUGCCUGCCCCAGGACCUGUGUGCACUGCAACAGGCAGCCUGCAGGGCGUGUGCCAGAGGCCAGGGCCUGAGCAACAGACACAGCGCUGCCCAGUGGGCCCUGCACCCUUGCAGUGAGGGGCAGCCUCAACCAACGAAAACACCACACACUAAGUCCUAGUUUCCAUCUAAGAAGUGUUUUCUGGAACUUUAAGCAACAUUUUAUUUCCACAGAUGUGGGGAAAAGGGAACCCUAUGGUGCAUAAUUAUUAACUUACUUUAGGGUCCUGUUUCUGGACUCAGUGGACUCAAGUGUAGCCAGGUCCAAUCUGUGCACUUGCCUCUGGAAUGUUCUGCCAACACCCUUUCCCCAGUUUUGCUGGGGAAGGCUGCAGGCAAGGAGAGGAGGCUAUUCCUGGCCCUGACCCAGGAGGAGAGACGGGAAAGGAAUGAGCAGACUUGAGCUUAAAUUUUCAUUGGAAGUAUUUAAGAAACACCUCAUGUUGGUCCUGGUUCUCUAUUAUUUCUCUCUAUUAAAAAUACCACCCCAAGUAAUCUGUACUCACUAUAGAAAAACUGGAAGUAAAAGUAAUAAUUAAAAAAAUCCCUGAAGCCAUAACUCACUCUUCUAUUACUAUAGUCAGCAUUUGCUGUGCCUCGUCCAACAAGCUGGGGUCGCCUCAGGAAAGAAGACUCUACCGUGCCCACUGCCCUCCCUCCAAGUCCUCCUCCUGUGGCGUCCCUCGUCGGGUAGUGCUGCCUUUUGGGAAGUCACUCUGGGUGGGGGUCUCCACCCUCCUGGGAAGUCUCCGGAACAGAAAGCAGGAGACACCGGCGCAUCCAGGCCCCAUCCCUCCCCGAAUUCACGGGCAGCCAGCAGGGGGCGCCACAGCAGCGCAGCAACAGGCACCCGGUUGCCGGCAUCACCGGCCCACGCUCGUUCCCUGUGCAUUUUGUUUAAAAUUUUUGAGAGAAAAUUUACAUAACAUAAAAUUAACCAUUUUAAAGUGUACAACUCAGUAGCUUUAGCGUGUUCACAAUAGAGUGGAACCAUUACCGCUAAUUACAGCACAUUUCCAUCACCCUAAAAGAAAAAGUCCGUUUCUCCCAAUGCCUUCCUCUCCUCAGCCCCACACCCAUUAAUCUACUUUCUGUCUCUGUGGAUUUUCCUGCCCUGGACACUUCAUAUAAAUGGAAUCUUACAACACGUGGCCUGUGUCUGGCUUUCUUUCACUUAGCAUCAUGUGUUCAAGGUCAUCCACAUUGUAUAAGGAGUUCAGUAUUCCAUUGUGUUGAUAUACCACAUUUAUUCAUCCAUUAAUUUAAUUUGGGUUGUUUCUAGUUUCGGGCUAUUGUGAAUAAUGCUGUUGUGAACACUUAUGUACAUCUGAUACGUGUUAUAUCAAAUGUUCAUUUGAAAAGGGGGAAGAACGAUAGCGUGUUUCUCUUUUGGUUUGGAUGUUCAGUCUGGGCUUUCCAGAGACGCAGAACCAAGUUUUUGUGUGGACACGUUUUCCCUUCUGCUGGAUAUACACCUAGGGGUGGAAUUACUGCUCAUAUGUCUAACUGUUUGAGGAACUGCCAGACUGUUUUCUACAGCGGUUGAAACAUUUUCUAUUCCCCCCAGCAGUUCUGAGGGUUACGAUUUCUCCACAUUCUUGACAAUACUUGUUUCUGUCUGUCAUUAUCAGCCAUCACAGUGGGUGUGAAGCGGUGUCUCACUGUGGUUUGCAUUUCCCUGAUGACUGGUGAUGCUAAGCAUCUUUUCAUGUGCUUAUUGGCCACUUGAAUAUCUUUUUUGGAGAGAUGUCUAUUCAGAUCCUUUGCCCAUUUUCAACUGGGUUGGGUUGUAUGUCUUUUUUUUUUUUUUUUUGAGACAGAGUUUCAGUCUGUUGCCCGAGCUGGAAUGCAGUGAGGUGAUCUCAGCUCACUGCAACCUCUGCCUCCCAGGCUCAGGCCAUUUCUGAGGCUGAGUGCCUCAACCUCCCAAGUAGUUGGAAUUACAGGUGCCCACUACCGUGCCUGGCUAAUUUUUGCAUUUUUAGCAGAGACGGUUUUGCCAGGUUGGCCAGGCUGGUCUUGAACUCCUGACCUCAAGUGAUCUGCCUGCCUCGUUCUCCCAAAGUGCUGGGAUUACAGACAUGCACCACCAUGCCCAGCUGGGUUGUCUUUUCUAUUGACGUGAGUAUUCUUUACAUAUUCCGAAUAAGAGUCUCUUCUAAGAAACAUGACUUACAAAUGCUUUUGUCCAUUUUGUGAGGGGUUCUGUUUUCUCAAUAGCGUCCAUUGACGUACAGCAGGUUUUAAUUUUGAUGAAGUCCAAUUUAUCUAAUUUUUCUUUUUUGCUUGUGCUUUUGUUGUUAUAUUUAAGAAAUCAUUGCCUAAUGCGAAGUCACAUCCCUGUGCCAUUCUAAGUAAAGUAGCAAAUAACAUUAUCUGUUGCUCUGGUAAAAACAAGCACACAAAAAACCAGAAACAUAAAUGUCACCAUAUGCUUGGACCCAGGCUUAUGAGAACAUUUCCAUCGGCCUUGGAGAAGUGAGCCCUGAAUAUCAGGCAUUAUUAGUUGUCUGGAACCAGCAUGAUGUAAAAAUGAACAAACCAACUACCCAAUGUAGAAAGUCCUUAUUAAGAAAUUAAGUACCACCAUGUUCAGCCACUAGGUUCCCAACAUCAUGAGCAUGUGAUGCACACUAGGAAGCACGUUGCUUGGGGCUAUGGAAAAAGUUUGUCGUGGAGGACAAAGACAAGACUCAGAACUACAAGGGCAGGGGUCACAGCUGGAUACCAACCCAACCUGCUUGGAAAGGGGCAAACGCGGCCGUGCACGGUGGCUCACGUCUGUAAUCCCAGAACUUUGGGAGGCCGAAGUGAGUGGAUCAUUUGAGGUCAGGCGUUUGAGAGCAGCUCGGCCAACAUGGUGAGACCUCAUCUCUACUAAAAAUGCAAAAAUUAGCCAGGCAUGGUGGCGAGCGCCUGUAAUCCCAGCUACUCGGGAGGCUGAGGGAGGAAAAUCGCUUGAACCCAGGAGGCGGAGGUUGCAGUGAGCCGAGAUUGUGCCACUGCACUCCAAUCUAGGUGUCAGAGCAAGACUUCAUCUAAAAAAAAAAGGGGGCAAACCCUGGGGAGACCCCACCUGGGAAGGGGAAGAAGGCAAACACUGAUGCUUUUUUCUGUUAAAUGAAUUUCUUCAAACAAUGGCUCUUUCCUAAAAACCCCUCAAAGUAAAAAUAAAGCGAACCCAGACACACUUUUCUCUGCCAAAAGGAAAUGGUGUCUCAGCUGGAGGUGGCUCUGGAGCUGCUCCCCAGCAAGUUUGCUCAGCCUCCUUCAAAGCGCAUGGCUACUGCCUCACAGAAGCCACUGAGUUAUUAGUCCUGGGGCAGUUUCCAGGUCACAACAGGUCACUAAUGCCCGAAUUGCCUUGGCUUUGUGGCUUCAGGAUACAGGGAAAGGCAUUCAGUCUGUAGAGUUAGGGAAGCUUUGCCCUAUCCCAGAGCCACCGCCCACUGCCUGGACCAGUGCUGAGCCCAGUGUUGACAUCUAUAAAAUGGGAUGUACCACCCUCACUCCACAGGGCUCCUGUAAAACCCCAAGGCUGUGCCUAGAGCCCUCACCUUUUGUGCUGCAGCAAGUUCACAGCCAAGCCUGUUCUUUCCAGGCCCUGUAUCCUCUCCAGGUCCACGAACCAAGGGCUGACGUGGAGGCUGAACUCCCACCUCCUCAGGAAAGUCCCAGAGGCUCCAUAAAACCUUCCCACCUAUUUCCUCCUUGGUCUUCCCAGACCUUGAGGCCAAUGACGACUUCCUUUGACAGAGAGGGGAACUGAGGCUGGAGGCCGCUAGGUGACAGCAGGGUGAUCGACAACUCCUGGGCUCAAGCAAUCCUCUCACCUCAGCCUCCCAAAGUGCUGGGAUUACAGGCAUGAACCACCGCACCUGCCCACAAGUGCUUUUAAUCACGUUUUCCACUAUGUCCACCUGGAAGAACUCAGUGCACUGAGAAAAGACUCAUGGAUGCAGCCCACAUUUAGUUCACACUCAGGGGUAACAGCAUUAUCCAGGAGCUCCGACUCCAGCACUGGGUGAUGCAGGAGGAUAACCUCCCAAAACCCAUGCCCCUUUGCCAAAGUAAAAAAUGUUCAUUGUAG